rnacentral:rRNA from 1 species
UUGCUGACGACCGGCGCACGGGUGCGUAACGCGUAUAGAACCUACCUUAAACAGGGGGAUACCCCAUGGAAACGUGGAAUAAUAUCCCAUAGUGUUAUAGAUUCGCAUGGAUUUAUAAUUAAAGAUUUAUCGGUUUAAGAUGGCUAUGCGUCCUAUUAGUUAGUUGGUAAGGUAACGGCUUACCAAGACAUCGAUAGGUAGGGGUCCUGAGAGGGAGAUCCCCCACACUGGUACUGAGACACGGACCAGACUCCUACGGGAGGCAGCAGUGAGGAAUAUUGGUCAAUGGAGGCAACUCUGAACCAGCCAUGCCGCGUGAAGGAUGACUGCCCUAUGGGUUGUAAACUUCUUUUAUAUGGGAAGAACUAUAGUUACGUGUAAUUAUUUGACGGUACCAUACGAAUAAGGACCGGCUAACUCCGUGCCAGCAGCCGCGGUAAUACGGAGGGUCCAAGCGUUAUCCGGAAUCAUUGGGUUUAAAGGGUUCGUAGGCGGGCUAAUCAGUCAGAGGUGAAAUCCAGCAGCUUAACUGUUGAACUGCCUUUGAUACUGUUAGUCUUGAGUCAUAUGGAAGUAGAUAGAAUAUGUAGUGUAGCGGUGAAAUGCAUAGAUAUUACAUAGAAUACCGAUUGCGAAGGCAGUCUACUACGUAUUGACUGACGCUGAGGAACGAAAGCGUGGGGGAGCGAACGGGAUUAGAUACCCCGGUAGUCCACGCCG